CACGUAGGGCGCAAGCGUUGUCCGGAAUUAUUGGGCGUAAAGAGCUCGUAGGCGGUCUGUCGCGUCUGCUGUGAAAACCUAGGGCUUAACUCUGGGCGUGCAGUGGGUACGGGCAGACUAGAGUGCGGUAGGGGAGACUGGAAUUCCUGGUGUAGCGGUGAAAUGCGCAGAUAUCAGGAGGAACACCGGUGGCGAAGGCGGGUCUCUGGGCCGUAACUGACGCUGGAGGAGCGAAAGCAUGGGGAGCGAACAGG
rnacentral:rRNA from 1 species